UACGUAGGUGACAAGCGUUGUCCGGAUUUACUGGGCGUAAAGAGCGCGUAGGCGGUCGAUCAAGUCGGGUGUGAAAGCCCCCGGCUCAACUGGGGAGGGUCAUUCGAUACUGGUCGACUCGAAGGCAGGAGAGGGUAGUGGAAUUCCCGGUGUAGUGGUGAAAUGCGUAGAUAUCGGGAGGAACACCAGUGGCGAAGGCGACUACCUGGCCUGUUCUUGACGCUGAGGCGCGAAAGCUAGGGGAGCAAACGGG
rnacentral:rRNA from 1 species